GAUGAACGCUGGCGGCGUGCGUAACACAUGCAAGUUGUACGACGGUGCCAUGAAGUGGAGACGCGGAGUGGUAUACGGAGUAGCGGACGGGUGAGUAAAGCAUGAGGAGCUGUCCUGUCGAGGGGGAUAACGUUCGGAAACGGACCCUAAUACCCCAUAGUCCGAGAGGUUAAAGGCAGAGAUGCGCGACGGGAGGUACUCGUGUCCUAUCAGCUAGUUGGUGAGGUAACGGCUCACCAAGGCGACGACGGGUAGCCGGCCUGAGAGGGUGACCGGCCACACUGGAACUGAGAUACGGUCCAGACUCCUACGGGAGGCAGCAGUGGGGAAUAUUGGGCAAUGGGAGGAAUCCUGACCCAGCGACGCCGCGUGAACGAAGACGGCCUUCGGGUUGUAAAGUUCUUUUAUGUGGGAAGAAGGAAGUGACGGUACCACAUGAAUAAGCCCCGGCUAACUACGUGCCAGCAGCCGCGGUAAUACGUAGGGGGCGAGCGUUGUCCGGAAUUACUGGGCGUAAAGGGCACGCAGGCUGUGCUUCAAGUCAGCUGUAAAAGGAUGCGGCUUAACCGUGUUAUGCAGUUGAGACUGAGGUGCUGGAGUACCGGAGAGGCAAGUGGAAUUCCCAGUGUAGCGGUGAAAUGCGUAGAUAUUGGGAAGAACAUCGGUGGCGAAGGCGACUUGCUGGACGGUAACUGACGCUGAGGUGCGAAAGCCAGGGUAGCGAACGGGAUUAGAUACCCCGGUAGUCCUGGCUGUAAACGAUGAAUGCUAGGUGUGCGAGCAGAGAUGUUGGUGUGCCGCAGUUAACGCGAUAAGCAUUCCGCCUGGGGAGUACGGUCGCA
rnacentral:rRNA from 1 species